CAGCUCACUCUUUCUUCGUUCCCACAUGGGGUGGCAGCUGAGAGUUAGCAGUCCAUCUGUGUCUUUCCCUGCUGAUUAUUCAAAUAAAAGGAGAAACCUGUGAUUGAUGACUGUUCAUUCUCAUUCUGAUCGAAUGAACCCAUGAUGAAUACCUCUGAACAACUUGGCACAUUUCAAUGAUCUGACCAUGAGACGGAGCCCGACGAGACCCCUGAUUCUCAAAAGAAGAAAACUGUCUUUUCAUCAAAAUGCGACUGAUUCACAGCCUGGAGAAUCAGGCUCCAAAGAACCGUCAAAACCAGCUGCCACUCAGUGCUUUUCUGAUGGUAUCCGCAUCAUGGACCAUCCAUCCAUGUCUGAUACUCAGGUGGUUGUCAUUCUCGAAACAGCAGAAGUUCAAAGUGUUAUUGGGGCCCUCACAGCUAAAGACAAUGAAUGUGGUGCCCAGGGCCCAAACAAGCUCAUUCUUCUGAGUGGAAGUGGAAGUGACAACAAGUGGGACUAUGGACCUGAUUCUCAGUCUGCUGCUGAAGGGGCUGCUACAAGGAGUACAGAAGGACAUAAAGUGAAAGCUGAAACUACACGCAAUUUAGCAGUCAAUAAGGAUGUCACUUGCAAUCCUUUAGAUGACAGCCUUACCGACCUUCACUGGUUGGGUAAGAUGAGCACAUGUGACUUGGAGCCAAAUUCUACAAAGAAGCUCAGCAGCAAGGAGAACCAAAACCCUUUACAGACUUUUCAGGUCAAAGGAGCUCUAAGAGGAGUUUCUAUUUGGGGGUUAUUCUCUGUCUGAGCCUGCUGAGUGUUUUCCUGCUGGUUACACUGAUCACUCUUGGUUUAUUUUACCAUAACUGCUUAUAUGAUUCAGCUAAACAGUUGUCAGAAAUGAAUAACCAACUUUCCUCCAUGGGUGAGGAGAGAGACGUUCUGAAUGCAAAUCUCUCUGCUGUGAGUAACAAUCUUUCUUCCAUCACUGAGGAGAGAGACCUUCUGAAUGCUAAUCUCUCUGCUGUGAGUAGCCAACUUUCUUUCAUGACCAAGGAGAGAGACCUGCUGACUGAAAAGACCAAAGAGCUGAAAAGGCUGCUGUGUUUGUCCAAUCAGAAUAAAACAUGCCCUGCAGGAUGGAGCAAAUUCAGCUGUAGCUGCUAUCUCCUCUCUGAAAGGUCUGCUUCCUGGGAUGAAGCCAGAAAGGACUGCAGAGACAGAGGAGCAGAUCUUGUGGUUAUUGACAGCCCAGAGGAUCAGACUGCCCUCUCAAAUAUUGCCACAACAGAAGCUUGGAUUGGUUUGAAUGACAAAGAACAGGAGGGAACAUGGAAAUGGCUAGAUGGAACUCCACUGACUCUGAUACCUGCUGGGAACUGGGAAGAAGAUCAACCUGAUAAUGGUGGUGGAAGUUCACACUGGGGUGAAGAGGACUGUGUACACGUCAGAACUGAUAUGAAGAAGUCUUGGAAUGAUCGCUCAUGUUCAACUUCUUU